rnacentral:rRNA from 1 species
GGGGAAUUUUCCGCAAUGGGCGAAAGCCUGACGGAGCAAUACCGCGUGAGGGAGGAAGGCUCUUGGGUCGUAAACCUCUUUUCUCAGGGAAGAACACAAUGACGGUACCUGAGGAAUAAGCAUCGGCUAACUCCGUGCCAGCAGCCGCGGUAAUACGGAGGAUGCAAGCGUUAUCCGGAAUGAUUGGGCGUAAAGCGUCCGCAGGUGGCUGUGUAAGUCUGCUGUUAAAGAGUCUAGCUCAACUAGAUACAAGCAGUGGAAACUACACGGCUAGAGUACGUUCGGGGCAGAGGGAAUUCCUGGUGUAGCGGUGAAAUGCGUAGAGAUCAGGAAGAACACCAGUGGCGAAGGCGCUCUGCUAGGCCGUAACUGACACUGAGGGACGAAAGCUAGGGGAGCGAAUGGGAUUAGAUACCCCAGUAGUCCUAGCCGUAAACGAUGGAUACUAGGCGUGGCUUGUAUCGACCCGAGCCGUGCCGUAGCUAACGCGUUAAGUAUCCCGCCUGGGGAGUACGCCGGCAACGGUGAAACUCAAAGGAAUUGACGGGGGCCCGCACAAGCGGUGGAGUAUGUGGUUUAAUUCGAUGCAACGCGAAGAACCUUACCAAGGCUUGACAUGUCGCGAAUCUUGAUGAAAGUUGAGAGUGCCUUCGGGAGCGCGAACACAGGUGGUGCAUGGCUGUCGUCAGCUCGUGUCGUGAGAUGUUGGGUUAAGUCCCGCAACGAGCGCAACCCUCGUUUUUAGUUGCCAGCAUUAAGUUGGGCACUCUAGAGAGACUGCCGGUGACAAACCGGAGGAAGGUGGGGAUGACGUCAAGUCAGCAUGCCCCUUACGCCUUGGGCUACACACGUACUACAAUGCUCCGGACAGAGGGCAGCAAGCCAGCGAUGGCAAGCAAAUCCCGUAAACCGGAGCUCAGUUCAGAUCGCAGGCUGCAACUCGCCUGCGUGAAGGAGGAAUCGCUAGUAAUUGCAGGUCAGCAUACUGCAGUGAAUCCGUUCCCGGGCCUUGUACACACCGCCCGUCACACCAUGGAAGCUGGUAGUGCCCGAAGUCAUUACUCCAACCUUUCGGGGGGGAGGAUGCCUAAGGCAGGACUGGUGACUGGGGUGAAGUCGUAACAAGGUAGCCGUACCGGAAGGUGUGGCUGGAUCACCUCCUU